rnacentral:rRNA from 1 species
AUUGAACGCUGGCGGAAUGCUUUACACAUGCAAGUCGAACGGCAGCACGGGGCAACCUGGUGGCGAGUGGCGAACGGGUGAGUAAUAUAUCGGAACGUGCCCAAUCGUGGGGGAUAACGUAGCGAAAGUUACGCUAAUACCGCAUACGAUCUACGGAUGAAAGCGGGGGAUCGCAAGACCUCGCGCGAAUGGAGCGGCCGAUAUCAGAUUAGGUAGUUGGUGGGGUAAAGGCUCACCAAGCCAACGAUCUGUAGCUGGUCUGAGAGGACGACCAGCCACACUGGAACUGAGACACGGUCCAGACUCCUACGGGAGGCAGCAGUGGGGAAUUUUGGACAAUGGGCGCAAGCCUGAUCCAGCCAUUCCGCGUGCAGGAUGAAGGCCUUCGGGUUGUAAACUGCUUUUGUACGGAACGAAACGGUCUGCCCUAAUACGGCGGGCUAAUGACGGUACCGUAAGAAUAAGCACCGGCUAACUACGUGCCAGCAGCCGCGGUAAUACGUAGGGUGCAAGCGUUAAUCGGAAUUACUGGGCGUAAAGCGUGCGCAGGCGGUUAUAUAAGACAGAUGUGAAAUCCCCGGGCUCAACCUGGGAACUGCAUUUGUGACUGUAUAGCUAGAGUACGGCAGAGGGGGAUGGAAUUCCGCGUGUAGCAGUGAAAUGCGUAGAUAUGCGGAGGAACACCGAUGGCGAAGGCAAUCCCCUGGGCCUGUACUGACGCUCAUGCACGAAAGCGUGGGGAGCAAACAGGAUUAGAUACCCUGGUAGUCCACGCCCUAAACGAUGUCAACUGGUUGUUGGGUCUUCACUGACUCAGUAACGAAGCUAACGCGUGAAGUUGACCGCCUGGGGAGUACGGCCGCAAGGUUGAAACUCCAAGGAAUUGACGGGGACCCGCACAAGCGGUGGAUGAUGUGGUUUA